AUGUGUUCAUUCAAAAUAGACUGUAGGAGGUGUGAAAGUGGAUAUCCUUGUCUGACACCUCGCGUGCACAAAAAUUGUUUUCCAGGUUUUCCGUUACCAUUAGGCAGUACAGAAGAGAUACCAGUGUCCGAAAUCAUACUAAUCCAUGUCAUCCACCUUUGUCCAAAUCCUUUGGCGGUAAGUAGUUCCAUGGUAGUGUUAUGGUCAAGCAGAUCAAAUGCCUUUUCAAAAUCACCAUUUCAAUCUUUGAGUGAUGGCAUUGAUGCACAUAUUCAAAAGCCCAUGCCAGACAAUCUUGGAUGCUUUUGCUAUGCAGAAAUUCAUAUUGAUUUUUAUGCACCAAUUUAA
rnacentral:rRNA from 1 species